rnacentral:rRNA from 1 species
AAAUUGAAGAGUUUGAUCAUGGCUCAGAUUGAACGCUGGCGGCAGGCCUAACACAUGCAAGUCGAGCGGUAACACAGAGAGCUUGCUCUCGGGUGACGAGCGGCGGACGGGUGAGUAAUGUCUGGGAAACUGCCUGAUGGAGGGGGAUAACUACUGGAAACGGUAGCUAAUACCGCAUAACGUCGCAAGACCAAAGUGGGGGACCUUCGGGCCUCAUGCCAUCAGAUGUGCCCAGAUGGGAUUAGCUAGUAGGUGGGGUAAUGGCUCACCUAGGCGACGAUCCCUAGCUGGUCUGAGAGGAUGACCAGCCACACUGGAACUGAGACACGGUCCAGACUCCUACGGGAGGCAGCAGUGGGGAAUAUUGCACAAUGGGCGCAAGCCUGAUGCAGCCAUGCCGCGUGUAUGAAGAAGGCCUUCGGGUUGUAAAGUACUUUCAGCGAGGAGGAAGGCGUUAAGGUUAAUAACCUUGGCGAUUGACGUUACUCGCAGAAGAAGCACCGGCUAACUCCGUGCCAGCAGCCGCGGUAAUACGGAGGGUGCAAGCGUUAAUCGGAAUUACUGGGCGUAAAGCGCACGCAGGCGGUCUGUCAAGUCGGAUGUGAAAUCCCCGGGCUCAACCUGGGAACUGCAUUCGAAACUGGCAGGCUAGAGUCUUGUAGAGGGGGGUAGAAUUCCAGGUGUAGCGGUGAAAUGCGUAGAGAUCUGGAGGAAUACCGGUGGCGAAGGCGGCCCCCUGGACAAAGACUGACGCUCAGGUGCGAAAGCGUGGGGAGCAAACAGGAUUAGAUACCCUGGUAGUCCACGCCGUAAACGAUGUCGACUUGGAGGUUGUGCCCUUGAGGCGUGGCUUCCGGAGCUAACGCGUUAAGUCGACCGCCUGGGGAGUACGGCCGCAAGGUUAAAACUCAAAUGAAUUGACGGGGGCCCGCACAAGCGGUGGAGCAUGUGGUUUAAUUCGAUGCAACGCGAAGAACCUUACCUACUCUUGACAUCCAGAGAACUUAGCAGAGAUGCUUUGGUGCCUUCGGGAACUCUGAGACAGGUGCUGCAUGGCUGUCGUCAGCUCGUGUUGUGAAAUGUUGGGUUAAGUCCCGCAACGAGCGCAACCCUUAUCCUUUGUUGCCAGCGAUCGGUCGGGAACUCAAAGGAGACUGCCAGUGAUAAACUGGAGGAAGGUGGGGAUGACGUCAAGUCAUCAUGGCCCUUACGAGUAGGGCUACACACGUGCUACAAUGGCAUAUACAAAGAGAAGCGACCUCGCGAGAGCAAGCGGACCUCAUAAAGUAUGUCGUAGUCCGGAUUGGAGUCUGCAACUCGACUCCAUGAAGUCGGAAUCGCUAGUAAUCGUAGAUCAGAAUGCUACGGUGAAUACGUUCCCGGGCCUUGUACACACCGCCCGUCACACCAUGGGAGUGGGUUGCAAAAGAAGUAGGUAGCUUAACCUUCGGGAGGGCGCUUACCACUUUGUGAUUCAUGACUGGGGUGAAGUCGUAACAAGGUAACCGUAGGGGAACCUGCGGUUGGAUCACCUCCUUA